UACGUAGGGUGCGAGCGUUGUCCGGAAUUACUGGGCGUAAAGAGCUCGUAGGUGGUUUGUCGCGUUGUUCGUGAAAACUCACAGCUUAACUGUGGGCGUGCGGGCGAUACGGGCAGACUGGAGUACUGCAGGGGAGACUGGAAUUCCUGGUGUAGCGGUGGAAUGCGCAGAUAUCAGGAGGAACACCGGUGGCGAAGGCGGGUCUCUGGGCCUGUCCUGACGCUGGAGACGCGAAAGCGUGGGGAGCGAACAGG
rnacentral:rRNA from 1 species